GUAGGUGGCAGGCGUUGUCCGGAAUUAUUGGGCGUAAAGCGCGCGCAGGCGGUUCUUUAAGUCUGAUGUGAAAGCCCACGGCUCAACCGUGGAGGGUCAUUGGAAACUGGAGAACUUGAGUACAGAAGAGGAAAGCGGAAUUCCACGUGUAGCGGUGAAAUGCGUAGAGAUGUGGAGGAACACCAGUGGCGAAGGCGGCUUUCUGGUCUGUAACUGACGCUGAGGCGCGAAAGCGUGGGGAGCAAACAGGAUUAGAUACCCUGGUAGUCCACGCCGUAAACGAUGAGUGCUAAGUGUUAGGGGGUUUCCGCCCCCCUUAGUGCUGCAGCUAACGCAUUAAGCACUCCGCCUGGGAGUACGGCCGCAAGGCUG
rnacentral:rRNA from 1 species